AUCUCUACAUUUUUCAUAUGAGGAAAUUAAAGCUUAGAAAGUUUAUCUUUCUCAAGAACUGAUCAAAUUCCUGUCUUAGAAAUUAGAAAUUGGGAAAAUGAAUCCAUUCCUCAUAGAAAAAUUUUAUUGUAGACAUACAGUAGAGAAUCAGUUCCUAAUGGAAAAACUUUAUUUUUAUUUUAUCAUAGAGCAAGAUCAGGAAGAGAUCUCCCUCCACACAGGGGAAGGAAAUUGUUUUUUUUUUUUUUUAAUUAUGUAUGAGGCUGAGAUUGAAGGUGAUGGAAAGGAAAUAAUUGAAUAUGAGAGGUCGAAACACCAUGUGAGGAGAGAGGGUAAGGGCUCUCUUGGUGGCUAGGUCUUUUCAUUCUUGUGUUGAUAACUGUAAGAGACUUCCUUUCUCUGGAGUUCAUUUGAAUUGAUUUUUGGUUCUUUGUGACCUAAAGGUCCAAAUUAAAGCAGACCUGUAUAUUUGCAUAUAUUUGCUAGCUUAGUUUCAAUUAAGUAGAGGAAAUCUUGACUGAAAAGUGAUUAUAUUCCAGAAGUGUAUUUAUGAAUUUGAUUGGAAUCUAGAAAAUGGUUUCUCAUGAAAACAAUUAUAAGUGAUAAUUAUAUUCUUUAGUUAGUUCAUAUAGGUUAUAUCAGGUUGAACUACUCUAUAUUAUUAUGUAAUAAAAAUAGAUAACACUAUUGAAAUAUGUUUAUUAAAGUAAAGUCAGUGAUUCAAAUGAAGACUCAAAUAGUUUUUCUCAAAUGCUGGUACCUGAAGAAAAGCAGAUUUAAUUAAAGAAGCAUAGCGUAGUAGAUAUAAAUUUACAUGACAGUUUUGGCUGCUUCAUAUUUAUUUAAAACAACUGUAUUGAAGGUGUUUAGUAUCCAUGACAGAUAAUUUGUGUUUAAAACUGUAAUAAAAUGAGAAAGGAUGGAGAUAUAUUUCUUUGGUCUGUGAAAGAUAGAGGGAAAGGAACAUGAUACAUGAUCCCUACCUCCUAUGUUAAAAGCAUUAUUUGUGGGCACCAAAUUUCUGUUCAUUGGUUCUCAAACUCUUCGGUCUGUGGACCACUUUAUACUUUUAAAAGUUAUUCAGGACACCAACGAGUUUUUGUUUAUGUUGUUAUGUCUAUUGAUAUUUUUUGUACUUGAAAUUAAAAAAAUAUUGAAUAUAGAAACAUACAUUCCAUUAGUCAUCAGAGUGAUUAUGUUAUCACAAGGUCAUAUAGUGUCUGAGAAACUCCACUGUAUACUCAGAAAAUGAGAGUAGAAAAGGCAUUUAACCUGUUAGCCAUAUUAUUAAAAUAGUUUUGACUUUAUAGCUAUCCUGAUCAGGUCCUGAGUGAGAAACCCUGGAUCAAACUUUGAAGACUGCUCCUGUAGUUAUAGUAAUUCUGUUUUGAAACUCUUUAUUUUAAAUGGGAGAAGACUUUAGUCUUCUAAAGUUGAUGCAAGAAAUAAACCAUUUUCAGAAUGUGUAUAUUUUAUGUUGAGCAAACUCAUCACUCUUAAAUUCAGUUAUUUUACAUAAUGAAAGAAAACAAUUUGAGUUGACUUUGUAUUUAGUUUUAGAUUGGAAGACCAAAAUAUGAAGAAAAAAAAAGAUGGAUAGUGUUGAUUGUAGGUGUGUGUGUGUGUGUGUGUGUGUGUGUGUGUGUGUGUGUGUGUUGGGGAGAAGUGUUUUGGUCAAAUGGAAUUGAGCUGGUACUGGAAAUGUGAUCUCUGUGGCUCAUCCAAUGGUGGUCAUUUUGCUCUGUUUUUAGCCAUACAUUGUGGUUCACUAUAUGGCUGUUACUUGAGUCCUAUACCAGAAAGACUUAUGAUGGGUUGGCGCACAGAAAUGUCAUAUUUCAAUCACGACAUGAGAAAUGGUUGGAUUGCCUGUUCUACUAGGAGAUUCUCGACUGACAUUUUAUCGU